GUGCUCGCCUCAGCAGCACGUAUACUAAAAUUGGAAUGAUACAGAGAAGAUUCGCGUGGCCCCUUUACAAAUAUUUAACAAAAAAGGCAGGGCGAGGUGGCUCACGCCUAU
rnacentral:snRNA from 1 species